GACGAACGCUGGCGGCGUGCCUGACACAUGCAAGUCGGACGGUUCUUGCACCUUCAAGCUUGCUUGCUGGUGCAGGGAUAGUGGCGGACGGGUGAGGUAACGCGUGAACAUCUACCCAUUGGAGGGGGGACAACCCGUCGAAAGGCGGGCUAAUACCGCGUAAGCCGUGAGGUGAGAGGCUGCCUAUUGGUGGCCCGCCGAUGGAUGGGUUCGCGUCCUAUCAGCUGGUUGGUGGGGUAACGGCCUACCAAGGCGAAGACGGGUAGCCGGUCUGAGAGGAUGGCCGGCCACACUGGAACUGAGACACGGUCCAGACUCCUACGGGAGGCAGCAGUGGGGAAUAUUGGGCAAUGGGGGUAACCCUGACCCAGCGACGCCGCGUGAGGGACGAAGGUUUUCGGAUCGUAAACCUCUGUUGUACGGGAAGAAGGAUGUGACGGUACCGUACGAGGAAGCCCCGGCAAACUACGUG
rnacentral:rRNA from 1 species